rnacentral:rRNA from 1 species
UACGGGGGGGAGCAAGCGUUGUUCGGAUUUACUGGGCGUAAAGGGCGCGUAGGCGGCCAGCACAAGUCAGUUGUGAAAUCUCCGAGCUUAACUCGGAAAGGUCAACUGAUACUGUGCGGCUAGAGUGCAGAAGGGGCAACUGGAAUUCUUGGUGUAGCGGUGAAAUGCGUAGAUAUCAAGAGGAACACCUGCGGCGAAGGCGGGUUGCUGGGCUGACACUGACGCUGAAGCGCGAAAGCCAGGGGAGCGAACGGG